GAUUUUCAGGGCUUUACUGAUACUACUGUUGUACCGACCACAACAUCACUAGGAGACACCACUGACAAUGAUUUUCGGGGCUUUACUGAAACUACUGUUGUACCAACGGCAACUUCAACAGGAGACUCCACUGACAAUGAUUUUUCUGGCUUUAUUAAUACUACUGUUGUACCAACGACAACAUCAAUAGGAGACUCCACUAACAAUGUCUCAUUUUAUCCAUUUGGAGUUGGAGACACACAAAAUGAAUGCUCUGAUGAUGGAAGUUCUGCACUCAUUUACCUCCUGCAACCGUUUAUAUUUUUUGGAAACACAUACAACCAAAUAUAUGU